rnacentral:rRNA from 1 species
GAUGGCUGUCCUGCCACAGACACACCCGGCCUCUCCUGAUCUCGGCAGCUAAGAAGGUCGGGCUGGUUAGAGCUGGGAUGGAGAAGCUGUGAGGGAGGUCCCAGAGCCGUGCUAACU